GAUGAACGCUAGCGGGAGGCCUAAUACAUGCAAGUCGAACGGUAAGGUCCCUUCGGGGAUACACGAGUGGCGGACGGGUGCGUAACGCGUACGAAACAUACCUUCAACAGGGAGAUACCUCCGGGAAACUGGAAAUAAUACCCCAUAGUAUUGAGAUAUCGCAAUGAUAUUUCAAUUAAAGCUUUGGCGGUUGAAGAUUGCCCGUGCGUCUGAUUAGCUAGUUGGUGAGGUAACGGCUCACCAAGGCGACGAUCAGUAGCUGGUCUGAGAGGAUGAUCAGCCACACUGGAACUGAGACACGGUCCAGACUCACGGGAGCAGCAGUAGGAAUAUUGGACAAUGGCGAAGCCUGAUCCAGCCAUCCGCGUGUAGGAAUAAGGCCCUA
rnacentral:rRNA from 1 species